GUGGGGAAUAUUGGACAAUGGGGGGAACCCUGAUCCAGCCAUGCCGCGUGUGUGAAGAAGGCCUUUUGGUUGUAAAGCACUUUAAGCGAGGAGGAGGCUACCGAGAUUAAUACUCUUGGAUAGUGGACGUUACUCGUAGAAUAAGCACCGGCUAACUCUGUGCCAGCAGCCGCGGUAAUACAGAGGGUGCAAGCGUUAAUCGGAUUUACUGGGCGUAAAGCGCGCGUAGGUGGCCAAUUAAGUCAAAUGUGAAAUCCCCGAGCUUAACUUGGGAAUUGCAUUCGAUACUGGUUGGCUAGAGUAUGGGAGAGGAUGGUAGAAUUCCAGGUGUAGCGGUGAAAUGCGUAGAGAUCUGGAGGAAUACCGAUGGCGAAGGCAGCCAUCUGGCCUAAUACUGACACUGAGGUGCGAAAGCAUGGGGAGCAAACAGGAUUAGAAACCCCGGUAGUCC
rnacentral:rRNA from 1 species